rnacentral:lncRNA from 1 species
GGGUACAGGGGGAGAGUUUCUCGUCUGGUGGUUCUUGGAUCCAUCACCAGCUGGAGCCACAAGACAGAGGAAGAAGGUGGAGGACGGACUAAGUGUACCACGAUCUGACAGCCCCGAAAAUAUCGGCCUGAGGCAUCGGAAGCUUCAAGGACCAACAACACACCUCCAUGGCAAGUUGAGACUCGACCGUACAGACCCGUCCGAUCUCGUCUACGACUCCGUUAACUGAGAAACGCCGCCGACCCGCGGAAGGCACUUUCUCCAUCAAUGCCUAAAGUGGACCUGAACCUUUGGACCUGAUGUGAACUAGAAUGAAGUUGGCUGGACUUCAAGUACUCUGUGGUAUUGUAUUUAAUAUUGUUGUAGUACUUUGAAUGUUAGGAAAGUUCUACAGGCAUUCCCCAGUUUAUAAGAGUAUUAUGCAUUAAAAACCUAUAUUAAAUCGAAUCAAUAUUCCUAUAGACGCGCAUUACAAAAGCCCAGAUACUUUUCUACAAUGAAAAAAAGUUCCCCCCAAAUUAUGUACAGUCCCCCAAAAACUAUCGAUAGAUUUUCUUGCGGUAAAAUUUGAAACUCUAGAUGAAAUACAUUGAUGUGAUCCCCAUUGCGUCAGCAUAAGUUGUUACGCCCGCUCACUGUAUCGGCAAUGGCUAUAGACGGCGGGUAGCGAGGGAGUCAUCCUCGUGUGACAUACAACCGUACAGUAUAUGCUUUACUAUAACAAGAAAUUCAUUAAGCUAUAUUAAUGUAUGUAUCGUGCUGGGUAGAAACAAGGCCUCAACCGAGGACUACAAUAGUAUCAAAAUAUACGUUAAAUGGAAGAGUUUUGGAACGUCGCAAUCGAGUAGGACCUCGAGGCGGACAUUUCACCACCGUGUCGUAGUAACGGUUUCAUUCGUACCGAGUUGCAGAAUAUAGUCGUCGACGACACGUCUGAUUUAUGAGAGGUGACCAAGGAAAUAUUACUUGAUAUUAGAGUGAACAGCUACAGCAAUAUACAAUAUAUCGGUCUAGUUGGGAUCUGCCAAAUAUUAUUGAUACGUAAAUGGUAUCGGUUUAAUGUCACAAUAAGAAUUUAAAUCGGCGCGUCGCUGGUCGUUUUGUGGCUGGCGGCUGAGCCAUCGCGAUACAGCGGGUUCGCCUCCCCAUUGCGUCUUUCCGAUAAUUCCUCGGUUCGUUUGACGUAAGAUCCCAUUAAUGACCAGCACGGCAUCGGCGUCCAUUUACGACACGCAAUCUCAAUUCGCGUAACGUGCGAUCGGAAGCCUCGGAGGAUUCGCAUCUUUCAAAAACAUAUGUAUACUCAUUCGUGCUCAAAGGUGUAGACGUAGAGUUAGCAACAGUUCUGAAACAGGUCGUGUAACAUUGGUCGAAUAGCCUCGAAUCACGUCGACCCCGUGGCUAAAGAUAUUAUUUUGGGGUGACCAUACACGUCGAUUAUAAGCCAAUACAGGAGCUUCUCGACAGACAGACGAGUCGAGUUCCCGAGGCUUGUUCGCGAGUCCAACUUAACUCUUGUAGAUAAUGAUAUACAGUGGAGCUAUACUGUAUAUACCCAGCACAUUACGGUACAGUCGGUCCCCGACUUAUGACGGGGUUAGGGACCGGGUCGCGAGUCGAAAAUAAUACCGUACAUAGAAAAUCUAAAACGAGUGUCUCUCUCUCUUCUUGGCACCGCGAGAACUCUCACUCUUCCGCUUGCCAGCUAUUUUAAAGGGAAUUACCCAAAAAAAUUUUGUCGGUACACAGCGCAAUCACUAAUGUCGGGACUCGAAAAUAGGUAAUUUGACAAAAUUUUGGUACGACCGAGGCAGUCGUAGGUCGUAAGUCGAGGAGUAGCUGUAUUUAACUAAUGAUAACAGAAAAAGUUAUUUCUUUAAUGUUUUGUUUUUGUGUUUUAAUGUUUUGUCUGUGAGUCGGUUCUCGUCUUCAACGUUUAGGUCACGAAGGAGGCUUAAAUAUAUCUAGAAAAAAAGUUCUUGCUCCUGCGUAAAUAUCACAAUAGAUUUGCACUGUCCUCUGUUUGGUCACAGCAGAUUAUGUGAAAUUCGAGCGAGAGAAAUUUAAAUAAUAAAUCCCGCAAAAUUGUGGGUUUCUCCCGGAAGCACGAUAAGAAUCCGUCAACAUCGUCGCAGUUUCGUUCUACGUCGGUCACAUCCACGAAGUGUAAACACUAUUGGACUGUACGAAACCGGGUAUGCCGAUUAAAUUUUUGCUCGUCCAUCGCAAGAAGUUAGGUAGUUUAGUUUAGGUUAGGUUAGGUAGGGUUUUCAAUGUUUUUUUUUAACCCGUCAUGUUGAAAGUAACUUUUUUUGGAAGAUUCAUUGUUUUUGAUAGUGUAAAGAAAUUAAAAUCAUAUUUAUUUAUUAGAAAAAAUCCAAAUAAAAACUGGUAAAAUUAUCAUUUUGGCCGUGCAUCUAUUUUCCAAAAGUCAUAAUCGUUCAAAAUAUCCAUAAAAAGCGUUGGAAAAAGAUAUUUUCAACCUAACGUAACCUAUUUGAGUAAUCAGUUUCUCCAUGUGGUGUUAAACUAAUAAGUAAUGUUUAUUUUUAAUACAAAGUUGUUAUUUGACCCGGAUUCUGGGCCAAAUAACCGUCGGCUAUUUGACCGGGACCUGCGGGGAUCGUAUGGGAUCUUAAUGGGAUUGUAGUCGGGAUGGUUGGGGGCAUUAAACAAGUCAUUACAUUAUGGUAUUAUUUAAUUGUAUAAUUUCUGUUGACAAAAGGAUUUAGUUGUGGUACUUUGAAUGUUAGGAAAGUUGUACAGGCAUUCCCCAGUUUGUAAGAGUACUGUGUCUUAUAAAAACCUAUGGUAAAUCGAAUCAAUAUUCCUAUAGACUCACAUUAUAAAAGCCAAGAUACUUUUCUUCAAUGAAAAAAGUUCCCCCUCAAUUAUGUAGUCUCCAAAAAGUAUUGAUAGAUUUUCUAGCGGUAAAAUUUGAAACGCUGGGUGAAAGACUUUGAUGUGAUCUCCAGUGCAUCAGCAUAAAUUGGUACAGGUACAUCCGGUCACUAUAUGAGCAACAGCCAUAGACGGCGGGUAGCGAGAGAGGGAGUCAUCCUCGCGUGACAUACGACCGUACAGUAUAUGCUUUACUAUAACAAGAAAUCCAUUAAGCUAUAUUAAUGUAUGUAUCGUGCUGGGUAGAAGCAAGGCAUUUGUAAAGAAGCCCCUGACUGAGGAUUACAAUAACAUGGAAAUAUACUUUAAAUGGAAGAGUUUCGGAUCACAACCGAGACGGACCUCGAGGCGAACAUUUCACCGUGUCGUAGUGACGGUUUCAUUCGUACCGAGUUGCAGAAUAUAGUCGUCGACGACACGUAUGAUUUAUGAGAGGUGACCAAGGAAAUAGUAGUUGAUAUUAGAGUGAACAGCUACAGCAAUAUACAGUAUAUCGGUCUAAUUGGGAUCUGCCAAAUAUUAUUGAUUCGUAAAUAGUGUCGGUUUAACGUCACAAUAAGAAUUUAAAUCGGCGCGUCGCCGGUCGUUUCGUGGCGGCUGACCCAUCGCGAUACCGCGGGUUCGCUCGCCCCGUUGCGUCUUUCCGAUAAUUCCUCGGUUCGUUUGACGUAAGAUCCCAUUAAUGACCGGCACGGCGUCGGCGUCCAUUUACGACACGCAAUCUCAAUUCGCUUGACGUGCGAUCGGAAGCCUCGGAGGAUUCGUAUCUCUCAAAAACAUACGUAUGCUCAUUCGUGCUCAGAGGUGUAGACGUAGAGUUAGCAACAGUUCUGAAACGGAUCGUGUAACAUUGGUCGAAUAGCCUCGAAGCACGUCGACCCUGUGGCUAAAGAUAUUAUUUUGGGGUGACCGUACUCGUCGAUUAUAAGCCAAUACCGUAUAGGAGCUCUUCGACCGACAGACGAGUCGAGCUCCCGAGGCUCGUUCGCGAGUCCGACUUAACUCUUGUAGAUAAUGAUAUACAGUAGAGCUAUACCGUAUAUAGCCAGUACAUUACGGUACAGUCGGUCUCCGGCUUACGACGGGGUCAGGGACCGGCGACCGGGUCGCAAGUCGAAAAUGGGAAAAUAAUACUGUACAUAGAUGGGCGUCUCAUUUUCUUCUCGGCACCACGAAACUCUCACUCUUACGCUUGCCGGCCAUUUUAAAGGGAAUUACAAAUGAAAAUGUUGUCGGUACACAGCGCAAUCACUAAUGUCUGCAUUCAAAAAUACGUAAUUUGACAACAUUUUGGUACGACCGAGGCGGUC